rnacentral:rRNA from 1 species
AACGCGAAGAACCUUACCAAGGCUUGACAUAUACAGGAAUAUGGCAGAGAUGUCAUAGCCGCAAGGUCUGUAUACAGGUGGUGCAUGGUUGUCGUCAGCUCGUGUCGUGAGAUGUUGGGUUAAGUCCCGCAACGAGCGCAACCCUCGUUCUGUGUUGCCAGCAUUUAGUUGGGGACUCACAGGAGACUGCCGGGGUCAACUCGGAGGGAGGUGGGGAUGACGUCAAAUCAUCAUGCCCCUUAUGUCUUGGGCUGCACGCAUGCUACAAUGGCUGGUACAAAGGGCUGCAAUACUGCAAAGUGGAGCGAAUCCCAAAAAGCCAGUCUCAGUUCGGAUUGGGGUCUGCAACUCGACCCCAUGAAGUCGGAGUUGCUAGUAAUCGUAGAUCAGCAACGCUACGGUGAAUACGUUCCCGGGUCUUGUACACACCGAAU